GGGGGGGGGGGGGGGGGGGGCGGGGGGGGGGGGGGGGGGGGAGCAGGUGGGGAGCGUGCUCCUCUGACGUUAGCGGCGGACGGGUGAGUAACACGUGGAUAACCUGCCUAUACGACUGGGAUAACUUAGGGAAACCGGCGCUAAUGCCGGGUACUAUAUUGGACCGCAUGGUUCAAUAGUGAAAGACGGUUUUGCUGUCACUUAUAGAUGGAUCCGCGCCGCAUUAGCUAGUUGGGAAGGUAACGGCUUACAAAGGCACCGAUGCGUAGCCGACCUGAGAGGGUGAUCGGCCACACUGGAACUGAGACCCGGUCCAGACUCCUACGGGAGGCAGCAGUAGGGAAUCUUCCGCAAUGGGCGAAAGCCUGACGGAGCAACGCCGCGUGAGUGAUGAAGGUCUUCGGAUCGUAAACCUCUGUUAUUAGGGAAGAACAAAUGUGUAAGUAACUAUGCACGUCUUGACGGUACCUAAUCAGAAAGCCACGGCUAACUACGUG
rnacentral:rRNA from 1 species